rnacentral:rRNA from 1 species
UACGAAGGGGGCUAGCGUUGCUCGGAAUGACUGGGCGUAAAGGGCGCGUAGGCGGACUGCACAGUCAGGCGUGAAAUUCUUGGGCUUAACCUGGGGACUGCGUCUGAGACGUGUGAUCUAGAGUGAGGAAGAGGGUCGUGGAAUUUCCAGUGUAGAGGUGAAAUUCGUAGAUAUUGGAAAGAACACCGGUGGCGAAGGCGGCGACCUGGUCCUUGACUGACGCUGAGGUGCGAAAGCUGGGGGAGCGAAAGGG